rnacentral:lncRNA from 1 species
AGAUUAUCCCCUUCAGCUGUCGGAGGGGGAAGCUAAUUUGAGGUGAUGAGAUGCAACGGUGGGUGGAGGAAUUAAUUCUGUGAGCUGACACCUUUGAAAGAACUUUCUAAAUUGUAAAAGAAAAACAGGAACUCAAACUGCUUAUCCAUAGCAGUGAAUCCAGUUCUGAAAGGAUCUGGGACUCAGACUCUGGUCAUCCAUGACAGACCCUGGGGAGCACUGCUUUGCGAGGGAGUGUCUGGUACGAUAAUAAAGCUUAUCAAAGAGACUCAAGGAGUAUUACAGGCACAUCCCUCUCGGAAGUGUCUGAGUGCCAUGGAAUGCCAGUACUUCAAAGAAUGCCACACCCACAUAAAUGGCAGCCAGCACUGGUGGCGAUUCAGUGCAGGUGAACCUACGUAUACAGUCAUGAAGUAAAAUAUGCUAUGGAUGUCUGUGCUCUUAUGGUGACAGUUGGUGGUUUAAAAUGUAUUCUUUACUAUUUAUUUGAAUUGUGAUUGAGCCUGGUGGUCCCAGUCAUGGAUCAGGGCUCCACUGUGUGUACAAAACAAACGGUUCCGGCCUCAAAGAGCUUACAAUCUACAUAUAAGAUAAGAGAAAACAGGUAGAUACAUGACCACAUGGUAAAAUGAGAGGUGUAUUGGGUAUGCAUUUAAGUAUGUGUUUUUUUUAAAAAAACAAGUACCGUACUGUCUGUUGAAGAGUGGUGCAGCCCCACAUUGGGUUCGUUACAACAUUUAAGGCCUCUGUAGAAGGAAAAUGUCACUUCAGAAGUGUAAAAUGCUUUGUUUCAAUUUUAAAAAAUGCUGCUUUCAGUAGUGCCAGAGAAGUUUUGCAUUGUUAAGAGAAACCACAAUUUGAAACUUUCCUGGCCUCACCACUGCUAUGUUAAAUGGCUUGGCACGUGAUAGAUAACUGAAGUAUAAAGAGAAAAAAGUGCAUAUAAAAUGGCCAUUAACAGCCUAGACACUGCUGCUCUGUCUUUAUUAAUGCUUCACUAGCUUCUUGGGUUUUUUAGCUUUCUAAAUAGACAGACGCUAAGAGCAUAAAAUAAAUUUGAGAUUGCACUUUUUUCUUUCUUUGUU